AUUCUUACAUGCAAAUGCCAUCAAAAGGACUUUUCCAAGGCUUGUAAUGAGGUUGGGCUAACAAGAAAAUUGGUUUUUCUGGAAUACAAAGUCCUUGAGUUAAGAGAGCUACCAUAGUAUUCAACAUUUAAGAACAACUCUCUUCCUCACCAAUCUCACUUAUUCCCAACCUUUUCCCUUUUCUUUUGCAUUGAGCCCCUCUUCAUGCUUUUUCUUCUUUUCUUUUUCUUUUUCUCAUGUAUUUUUCUUUCACAACAUUUGAGCUCAAAGCUUUUCAAGUGCCUUCCAAUUUCCCCCAUGCAACCCC
rnacentral:lncRNA from 1 species